ensembl:lncRNA
AGAGAGGGGUGAAACAGAGAGAGAAGAGAGGGAGGGAGUGAAACAGAGAAAGAGAAGAGAGAGAAGAGAGAGAGGGAGUGAAACAGAGAAAGAGAAGAGAGAGAGAGGGAAGGGAGGGAGUGAAACAGAGAAAGAGAAGAGAGAGAAGAGAGAGAGAGGGAGUGAAACAGAGAAAGAGAAGAGAGAGAGAGGGAGUGAAACAGAGAAAGAGAAGAGAGAGAAGAGAGAGAAGAGAGAGAAGAGGGAGGGAGUGAAACAGAGAAAGAGAAGAGAGAGAAGAGAGAGAAGAGGGAGGGAGUGAAACAGAGAGAGAAGAGAGAGAAGAGAGAGAGAGGGAGUGAAACAGAGAAAGAGAAGAGAGAGAAGAGAGAGAAGAGAGAGAGAGGGAGAGAAACAGAGAAAGAAGAGAGAGAAGAGAGAGAAGAGGGAGUGAAACAGAGAAAGAGAAGAGAGAAGAGGGA